UACGUAGGGGGCGAGCGUUGUCCGGAUUUAUUGGGCGUAAAGAGCUCGUAGGCGGUUGGGUAAGUCGGGUGUGAAAACUCAGGGCUCAACUCUGAGACGCCACUCGAUACUGCCCUGACUCGAGUCCGGUAGGGGAGCGUGGAAUUCCCGGUGUAGCGGUGAAAUGCGCAGAGAUCGGGAGGAACACCAGUGGCGAAGGCGGCGCUCUGGGCCGGAACUGACGCUGAGGAGCGAAAGCGUGGGGAGCAAACAGG
rnacentral:rRNA from 1 species